AAAAAAGACUUAAAAUAAUAGAAGAAAGAAAAAAGACUACAACAAUAAGAGAGCAAAAAAGAAGGCUAACAAAAUGUAAAAUGCUUAAAAGAUUUGGAAACUAUUGGAAUUUGGAAAAAAAAACCAAAAGAUAUUCGAAGAAAAUAUUGGCAAAAUUAGAACUAAAAAGGAUAAACUUUCAGCUUUGAAGUCAAAAAUAUAUAUGGUAAAAGAACACCACAAUCUUGAUCACAACGACAAACAUUUAAUAUAUACUUGAAGUGACCAAACAUGGAGGGGCAAAGUUAUAUCAUUCAACGAUAGCGAAUUUGAGGUUAUCAAUCAUCUAUGUUAAAAAAAUUUGACAGUUCACUGUAAUCUUAAUUUCACUGGUCUAGUACAUAUGGGGUAUAUAAGUGUUUCCCUUAAUCUCGCAAUAUUUCUGAAAUGGUGAUCAUUUUGUUUUCCAACAUGAUAAUCAUUUUUUCUUUAAUUUUGCAUGUAAAACCUGCAUGAAAUCUUGAAUAGAAUAACUACCCCCUUUUUUUUGGGCCAAAUACCCCUACAUUUUUUGUUUGUCCUCAG
rnacentral:lncRNA from 1 species